rnacentral:lncRNA from 1 species
AAUAUAUCCUCAGACACCAUGCCUACCUCCCCAAGGGCGUCAAAAGCUUCCACUUUGACCUUCACACUCAUGUCUCUUACCACUUAACAAAGCUGCAAACACAAGUGCAGGAGAUAUCACGGUAACAAUAUCAAUAAUGUAGUGAAUUUAGCAUCUAAUGAUCACCGAUGCUACAUUGCAACAAGGUGACAAGAAUUGGACACCCUACCAUAUGGUCCAUAUUCUUGUUGCGGGAAUGAAAUCGAUGAUUUCUUUUGAAGAUUUCCUAGACAAGGCGGCCAAUUACGUUUUCAAAUUCCUCCGACAUUUCAAAAAAUUGGGGCAUAUGACAAAAACUGAGAGAUUG